GACGAACGCUGGCGGCGUGCUUAACACAUGCAAGUCGAACGGUGAAGCGCCUUCCUUUUUGGUGGGUGUGGAUGAGUGGCGAACGGGUGAGUAACACGUGAGUAACCUGCCCCCUUCUUCUGGAUAACCGCAUGAAAGUGUGGCUAAUACGGGAUAUUCUGGGUCUGUCGCAUGAUGGGUCUGGGAAAGAUAUUGUUUCGGUGGGGGAUGGGCUCGCGGCCUAUCAGCUUGUUGGUGGGGUGAUGGCCUACCAAGGCGGUGACGGGUAGCCGGCCUGAGAGGGUGGACGGUCACACUGGGACUGAGACACGGCCCAGACUGCUACGGGAGGCAGCAGUGGGGAAUAUUGCACAAUGGGCGCAAGCCUGAUGCAGCGACGCCGCGUGAGGGAUGGAGGCCUGCGGGUUGUGAACCUCUUUCGCCAGUGAAGCAGGCCUGCCCCGUUUGUGGGUGGGUUGACGGUAGCUGGAGAAGAAGCGCCGGCUAACUACGUG
rnacentral:rRNA from 1 species